rnacentral:rRNA from 1 species
UACAGAGGGGGGCAACGUUGUUCGGAAUUACUGGGCGUAAAGGGCGCGUAGGCGGCCCCGCUAAGUCGAACGUGAAAAUCCCCCGAGCUCAAACUCGGGGAACUGCGUCCCGAUACUGGGUGGGGCUUGAAUCCCGGGGAGAGGGGAUGCGGAAAUUCCCAGGGUGUAGCGGGUGAAAAUGCGUAGAUAUCUGGGAGGGAAACACCCGG